rnacentral:rRNA from 1 species
CUUGGUCAUUUAGAGGNAGUAAAAGUCGUAACAAGGUUUCCGUAGGUGAACCUGCGGAAGGAUCAUUAUCGAAAUUAUUGGUGAGGGUUGUAGCUGGCCUUUCGAGGCAUGUGCACGCUCGAGCCCUUAAUCCACUUUACACCUGUGCACUUAAUGUAGGUCGCCCUUAAAAAAGGUGACCUAUGUCUUAUCAUCAACCCAUCGUAUGUCUCAUAGAAUGUAAUCGAUAUCCUCGCCCUAAAAAAGCGUUGAUAAACUUAUACAACUUUCAACAACGGAUCUCUUGGCUCUCGCAUCGAUGAAGAACGCAGCGAAAUGCGAUAAGUAAUGUGAAUUGCAGAUUUUCAGUGAAUCAUCGAAUCUUUGAACGCACCUUGCGCUCCUUGGUAUUCCGAGGAGCAUGCCUGUUUGAGUGUCAUUAAAUUCUCAACUCCAAGGGUUUCACGACCUUUCGGAGAUUGGACUUGGAGGUGCUGGCCGCAUAUUGGUCGGCUCCUCUCAAAUGCAUCAGCGGAAUUCAACCUUUGGCUUCCGGAUGUCAGUGUGAUAAUCAUGUUGCGCUGUCGUUUGAUCCCUCAGAGUCCGCUUAUAAUGGUCUUCGGACAAAAUCAUCAUCAAAUUUGACCUCAAAUCAGGUAGGACUACCCGCUGAACUUAAGCAUAUCAAUAAGCGGANG